AGCGAACAUUGGCGGUAGGCUUAACACAUGCAAGUCGAGCGAGGCGUAAUAGUCGAGCGGCGAACGGGUGCGUAAUACAUGGGAAUCUACCUCGAAGUGGGGGAUAACGCCCAGAAAUGGACGCUAAUACCGCAUAAUCCAUAUUGGGAAAGCGUUGCAGCGCUUUAGGAUGAGCCCAUGGCUGAUUAGCUAGUUGGUGAGGUAACGGCUCACCAAGGCGACGAUCAGUAGCUGGUCUGAGAGGAUGAUCAGCCACACUGGAACUGAGACACGGUCCAGACUCCUACGGGAGGCAGCAGUGGGGAAUCUUGCGCAAUGGGGGCAACCCUGACGCAGCCAUACCGCGUGAGUGAUGAAGGUCUUCGGAUUGUAAAGCUCUUUCGGCGGGGACGACGAUGACGGUACCCGCAAAAGAAGUCACGGCUAACUUCGUGCCAGCCGCCGCCGUAA
rnacentral:rRNA from 1 species